GAUGAACGCUGGCGGCGUGCUUAACACAUGCAAGUCGAACGGUGAAAGUAGGAGCUUGCUCCUGCUGGAUCAGUGGCGAACGGGUGAGUAACACGUGAGCAAUCUGCCCCGAACCCCGGGAAACCGGAGCUAAUACCGGAUACGAGACGGAGUCGCAUCGCUACCGUCUGGAAAGUUUUUCGGUCUGGGAUGGACUCGCGGCCUAUCAGCUAGUUGGUGAGGUAACGGCUCACCAAGGCGACGACGGGUAGCCGGCCUGAGGGGGCGACCGGCCACACUGGGACUGAGACACGGCCCAGACUCCUACGGGAGGCAGCAGUGGGGAAUAUUGCACAAUGGGCGAAAGCCUGAUGCAGCGACGCCGCGUGAGGGAUGACGGCCUUCGGGUUGUAAACCUCUUUCAGCAGGGAAGAAGCGAAAGUGACGGUACCUGCAGAAGAAGCACCGGCUAACUACGUGCCAGCAGCCGCCGUAACAC
rnacentral:rRNA from 1 species